UCAUUUCGCACAAUGACUCACCCUAACUUCUUCUCCCUUUUCUUCCUCACUCCAAACGGUGUUGCAUGCCGAAACCAAGACAAAGCUCGGCCACCACACGCCGGUAGUGACCCUCCUACGCUGGUGUUAGUCACACGCAAUCACAUCUCGUCAGAUUCGACCCUAGACCACCCUAAACUGAGACUAAGACCACGACCCUAAACGGCAAAAAGGGUCUCCGACACUCUCCUUUCACAACGAAGACACCCCGGCGACGAAAUUCAACCGACUGGGCAAGCGUAUGGGCAGAUGCUUGGGUGUUGUGGAUGGGGAAUCGAGUUGCUCAUUCAGAGUGCUGUCAGGCGUGUGUGAUGGGGAACUGAGCGUGCUGGCCGACAAGUUAUGGGCUUCCUUGGGAGGCACGAGCUGCUGUUGGGUGUGCUUCAUGCGUGGGUCUUCUGCUGGGGAGCUGGAAAUGGCAUAUGGGGUGCAUGUGGCUUCACGUGAGAUGUAUAGGCACUAGCAUGGGAACUAGCAUAUGUUUGACUAAAAGAAAAUGGUGCUCACAAUGGGAGAGUUUUUUUUUUGUUAGUUUAGUCAUUUAUAUUGCUGGGUUUCAUCAUUUGAUUUUGGUUUACUUAAAAAAUCUUCAACACCAUUCUUAAUUGAUCGAUUUUUUCUUAUUUUUAUUUUAAUAUACGAUUAUUUUUGGUGUAAUAGCCUUUGGAGGAUGCUAUAUAUUAUAAGAAUCGUGAAGUGAUUAGAUUUUGGAGAAGCAUGUAGCUAAGCCUUUGGUUAGUUAUUGCAUCAUUCGUCUGGAAUUUUUUCCCAUUCAGUGGUACUCCUUGAAAUCAUUUGUGGAGGGUCUUAUGACCAUUGUCCAUUCUGUUACUGCUAAUACGAAGGAUUGUUCAACAAAGGAAUGAGAAUUGGUAGAGCUUCAAUAUCAUUUCUAGCAGCGAUGGAGCUGAUAUGGCAUACAUUAUAUUAAUUUUUAUAUUUUCAAAUGCUUUAUUAUGCAUUGUUAAGUUGUUACCAGAAUUGAAGUUUGAUGGUAGAUUAUGAUAGUUAUCAUAUAGGCCUUUCGCAAAGUUUGUCAGUAUUGAAUGGUAAGUUGUGGAAUGGCUUUUUGUGUUCCACCUCACUGUGAUACUUGAGAAGAGGGCUAUCUAAGAAGAUAUUAAGGAUAUUAUCAAAUAAGGAUUAAAAUAUUUUUUUUUAUCUCGACUUAAGUUGUCCUUUAACUCAAACGUCGAGAGGCUCCAACCAUUUAGCCACUGUAGAGUGUGGGGUUGUGUUUCUGGUGUGGCACGAUAUUGUGAUGUGCACUAUAUUGUAUAAUAUAGGUUAAUGUGUCAAAUGUAUAGGAGAAUCUGGGUUUCUUUUUCAUGUAGCACUAGCAUGUUAGUCAUAGUCAGUUGGACGAUGGCUUUGUGAGGAAGUCUCAUAAUUCUUUGUAAUUGAUAUAAUUAUAUUCAUGGAAUUUAUUCCAUUGCUUCUUCUGAUGUUGAGCGAUGUUUACAUUUUGAAUUUUAUUUUGAAUUUUUCUCUUAC